AUGGCAAAGUCUUGUCGUAAAGCAACAGAAUUUUUUGGAGUUAUUCAGCGUAUUUAUACAAUAUUUGCUAAUUCUACUAAGAGAUGGCAAAUUCUGAAAGAUAACAUACCAGGAUUGACACUCAAGGCAUUGUCAUCUACUCGCUGGGAGAGUCGUGUUGAUAGUGUUCAGGCUAUAAGGUUUCAGCUACCGGAAAUACAGGAGGCCUUACUU
rnacentral:rRNA from 1 species